rnacentral:rRNA from 1 species
UACGUAGGGUGCAAGCGUUAAUCGGAAUUACUGGGCGUAAAGCGAGUGUAGGUGGUUGUCCAAGUUGGAUGUGAAAGCCUUGAGCUCAACUCAAGAAAUGCAUUCAGGACUGGGCGGCUAGAGGACCGGAGAGGAUAGUGGAAUUCCCAGUGUAGUGGUGAAAUACGUAGAGAUUGGGAAGAACACCAGUGGCGAAGGCGGCUAUCUGGACGGUUUCUGACACUAAGACUCGAAAGCGUGGGGAGCAAACAGG